CAGUAGCCACGGUAAUACGAAGGGUGCAAGCGUUAAUCGGAAUUACUGGGCGUAAAGCGCGCGUAGGUGGUUUGGUAAGAUGGAUGUGAAAUCCCCGGGCUCAACCUGGGAACUGCAUCCAUAACUGCCUGACUAGAGUACGGUAGAGGGUGGUGGAAUUUCCUGUGUAGCGGUGAAAUGCGUAGAUAUAGGAAGGAACACCAGUGGCGAAGGCGACCACCUGGACUGAUACUGACACUGAGGUGCGAAAGCGUGGGGAGCAAACAGGAUUAGAUACCCGCGUAGUCCCUGUCUCUUAUAC
rnacentral:rRNA from 1 species